CCCCUAGAUGUUCUGGGCCGCACGCGCGCUACACUGAACAGUUCAACAAGUCUUAACCUUGGCCGAGAGGCCUGGGCAAUCUUGUUAACGUGCAUCGUGAUAGGGAUAGAUUAUUGAAAUUAUUAAUCUUGAACGAGGAAUUCCUAGUAAACGCAGAUCAUCAAUCUGCAUUGAUUACGUCCCUGCCCUUUGUACACACCGCCCGUCGCACCUACCGAUUGGAUGGUCCGGUGAAGCCUCGGGAUUGUGGUUCUUGCCGCUUUAUUGUGGCGUGACCGCGAGAACUUGUCUAAACCUUAUCAUCUAGAGGAAGGUGAAGUCGUAACA
rnacentral:rRNA from 1 species